rnacentral:rRNA from 1 species
UUCAGCGAUGGAAACUGCAAGACUAGAGUGUGGUAGGGGCAGAGGGAAUUCCCGGUGUAGCGGUGAAAUGCGUAGAUAUCGGGAAGAACACCAGUGGCGAAGGCGCUCUGCUGGGCCAUAACUGACGCUCAUGGACGAAAGCCAGGGGAGCGAAAGGGAUUAGAUACCCCUGUAGUCCUGGCCGUAAACGAUGAACACUAGGUGUCGGGGGAAUCGACCCCCUCGGUGUCGUAGCCAACGCGUUAAGUGUUCCGCCUGGGGAGUACGCACGCAAGUGUGAAACUCAAAGGAAUUGACGGGGGCCCGCACAAGCGGUGGAGUAUGUGGUUUAAUUCGAUGCAACGCGAAGAACCUUACCAGGGUUUGACAUCCUGCGAAUCUCUUGGAAACGAGAGAGUGCCUUCGGGAACGCAGUGACAGGUGGUGCAUGGCUGUCGUCAGCUCGUGUCGCGAGAUGUCGGGUUAAGUCCCGCGACGAGCGCAACCCACGUCGUUAGUUGCCAGCAUUUAGUUGGGCACUCUAGCGAGACCGCCGGUGAUAAACCGGAGGAAGGUGUGGAUGACGUCAAGUCAUCAUGCCCCUUACAUCCUGGGCUACACACGUACUACAAUGCUACGGACAAAGGGCAGCAAACUCGCGAGAGCUAGCAAAUCCCAUAAACCGUGGCUCAGUUCAGAUCGUAGGCUGCAACUCGCCUACGUGAAGGAGGAAUCGCUAGUAAUCGCAGGUCAGCAUACUGCGGUGAAUACGUUCCCGGGCCU